GGGUACCGUCAGGCCUAACGUGUAUUAUACGUUAGGAGGUUCUUCCCCUCUGACAGAGCUUUACGACCCAAGAGCCUUCAUCACUCACGCGGUAUUGCCGCGUCAGGCUUUCGCCCAUUGCGCAAAAUUCCCC
rnacentral:rRNA from 1 species